rnacentral:lncRNA from 1 species
AAAUAACACACAAAAUGAAAUUGCCUUGGAUCACAGACCAACUAAGAAUCAAGAUUAACCAAACAAAACGUCUGCAUAAAAAAUCUAAGAAAUAUCAUCAUCUGCAAAUUAAUUACAAACAUAUGAAAAAAACAUUGCAGGCAGACAUGCACUCAGCUUAUUGGCAUUAUAUUGAAAACAUGAUCCUAGACCUCUCAAUUGAAGAACUUGGAAGCACCA